AUUCAAAUGAUAAGUCCUAAAUAGGACGAAACACUUGUCCUGUAU
rfam:Schistosoma haematobium scaffold106_1, whole genome shotgun sequence.